CUUGACGGAGCCGAGCCACAGCGGUCGGGUGCGCGGCCGCCCCUGCCCGUAGGUGGCGAGGAGCGCCUGCGCCUC
rnacentral:antisense_RNA from 1 species